GGAAAUGCAGCUCAGCAGUAGAGUGCUUGCCUGGCAUGCAAGAGUCCUGAGACUCAAUCCCCAGUUCCA
rnacentral:tRNA from 1 species